rnacentral:rRNA from 1 species
GACGAACGCUGGCGGCGUGCUUAACACAUGCAAGUCGAACGAAGUGGCGAACGGGUGAGUAACGCGUAAUCAACCUGCCCUUCAGCGGGGUACAACAGUUGGAAACGCCUGCUAAUACCGCAUACUGCAGGAGUGGAUUGCGUCUGAUUCGCUAGUUGGAGGGGUAACGGCCCACCAAGGCGAUGAUCAGUAGCCGGUCUUGGAGGAUGAACGGCAACAUUGGGACUGAGACACGGCCCAGAAUCCUACGGGAGGCAGCAGUGGGGAAUCUUCCGCAAUGGACGAAAGUCUGACGGAGCAACGCCGCGUGAGUGAUGACGGCCUUCGGGUUGUAAAGCUCUGUUAAUCGGGACGCGGUACCGGAAUAGAAAGCCACGGCUAACUACGUGCCAGCAGCCGCGGUAAUUC